AAGAAAGGGAGAGGAGGAAGAAAAGGCGAUAAUAACAAAAAAAGACACACAAAUUAUCUUUUACCUGUCUUUUUCCCCCUGCUAAGUAAUCUUUUCCUAUAUGCUUUUUCUGCUUAUCUUGGGCAUUUAUGUAA
rnacentral:ribozyme from 11 species